UGAACGCUGGCGGCGUGCCUAAUACAUGCAAGUCGAGCGAACAGACGAGGAGCUUGCUCCUCUGACGUUAGCGGCGGACGGGUGAGUAACACGUGGAUAACCUACCUAUAAGACUGGGAUAACUUCGGGAAACCGGAGCUAAUACCGGAUAAUAUAUUGAACCGCAUGGUUCAAUAGUGAAAGACGGUUUUGCUGUCACUUAUAGAUGGAUCCGCGCCGCAUUAGCUAGUUGGUAAGGUAACGGCUUACCAAGGCAACGAUGCGUAGCCGACCUGAGAGGGUGAUCGGCCACACUGGAACUGAGACACGGUCCAGACUCCUACGGGAGGCAGCAGUAGGGAAUCUUCCGCAAUGGGCGAAAGCUUGACGGAGCAACGCCGCGUGAGUGAUGAAGGUCUUCGGAUCGUAAAACUCUGUUAUUAGGGAAGAACAAAUGUGUAAGUAACUAUGCACGUCUUGACGGUACCUAAGCAGAAAGCCACGGCUAACUACGU
rnacentral:rRNA from 1 species